rnacentral:rRNA from 1 species
GAGUUUGAUCAUGGCUCAGGAUGAACGUUGGCGGCGUGCCUGAGAUAUGCAAGUCGAGCGAGCCCUCCGAUUCGGAGGGCAGCGGCGAACGGCUGAGUAAUACGUAGGAACCUGCCCCUAAGUCGAGGAUAGUCCGCCGAAAGGCGGAGUAAUACUCGAUGGUCCCCGCUUAAUUCGGUGGAGUAAAGGAUCUAACCGUCCGCUUAGGGAGGGGCCUGCGGCCUAUCAGGUAGUUGGUAGGGUAACGGCCUACCAAGCCGAUGACGGGUAGCUGGCCUUAUGAGGGUGGUCAGUCAGAGGGGGACUGAGACACGGCCCCCACUCCUACGGGAGGCAGCAAUCAGGAAUCGUCGGCAAUGGGCGAAAGCCUGACCGCGCGACGCCGCGUGCGGGAAGAAGCUCUUCGGAGUGUAAACCGCUGUGGUAG